AACGCGAAGAACCUUACCCAGGUUUGAAAUCUAGUGGAAGUGUGCAGAGAUGUACACGUCCCGCAAGGGACUGCUGGACAGGUGCUGCAUGGCUGUCGUCAGCUCGUGCCGUGAGGUGUUGGGUUAAGUCCCGCAACGAGCGCAACCCUUAUUCUUAGUUGCCAUCAGGUAAAGCUGGGCACUCUGGGGAGACUGCCGGCAUAAGUCGGAGGAAGGUGGGGAUGACGUCAAGUCAGCAUGGCCCUUACAUCUGGGGCUACACACGUGCUACAAUGGCCGAUACAAAGGGCAGCAAAACCGCGAGGUAGAGCGAAUCCCAUAAAGUCGGUCUCAGUUCGGAUUGUAGGCUGCAACUCGCCUGCAUGAAGUCGGAAUCACUAGUAACCGCAGAUCAGCUACGCUGUGGUGAAUACGUUCCCGGGCCUUGUACACACCGCUAGUC
rnacentral:rRNA from 1 species